rnacentral:rRNA from 1 species
CACCGCGGUUAUACGAGAGACCCAAGUUGACAGCCCAACGGCGUAAAGCGUGGUUAAGUACCCCCCCCCAACUAGGGCCAAACACCCUCAAAGCCGUUAUACGCACAUGAGGGCUUGAAGAUCUCCUACAAAAGUGACCCUAAACCCUACUGAACCCACGAAAGCUACAAAA